rnacentral:rRNA from 1 species
CGAGAAAGCCCGCAAGGGUGAGUAAAGCGGCGCACGGGUGCGUAACACGUGGGUAAUCUGCCCUAGAGUCUGGAAUAACUCGCCGAAAGGCGUGCUAAUGCCGGAUGAGACCACGGGAGCCUCGGCUCCUGCGGGAAAAGGUGGCCUCUGUAUACAAGCUAUCGCUCUAGGAUGAGCCCGCGGCCCAUCAGCUAGUUGGCGGGGUAAUGGCCCACCAAGGCUACGACGGGUAGCUGGUCUGAGAGGACGAUCAGCCACACUGGAACUGAGACACGGUCCAGACUCCUACGGGAGGCAGCAGUGGGGAAUCUUGCGCAAUGGGCGAAAACCUGACGCAGCAACGCCGCGUGUGUGAUGAAGGUCUUCGGAUCGUAAAGCACUGUCGCGAGGGACG